rnacentral:lncRNA from 1 species
AGGUACUUUUUACACCUCUGCUCACUGAUACAGUUAAUGCAUCUCAUUUCUAGGAAGGAUGACAUCAUCCCCUUCACUUCCUCCGAUGUGUCUGGCCUCUCUUGCAGGAUGAGUCUGCAGAUUCUCCCCCUGAAUGACUCGGCACAAAAAAAAAUGGAGACUGAAGGAGAACAAAGGCAGCACAUCAGCACGUUCAGACCUCUGCUGUCAUAAAAACAGCUGCUGAAUAUCAAGACGUGUGAUCAGAGCGGAAAUAUUCUACAUGGUGUCGUGUUUAUUUCCCCGCAGCGACGUGACGUGAUGUUUUUAAAACCUUUAAAUGAUAAUUUCCUCUUUUUCUUCUUCACAUGAUGUCACUGAGUGCUGAUGUGACAGGCGGACCCCGCCUCCAACAGAGCGGUGUGAGUGGCCCCCAUGCUGGCAGCCUGUGUCUUUAAGCAGCCAUGUAAAGAGGGCGUGUCCACACACACACACACACACACUCACUCACACACACUCGAGCAGGCAGCAGCAGCUUUGUAGUGACUUAUUGCGCUUCGGAGCUGCAGCGUCGCGUCUGAGGAUGCGCUGACAGCCACGAGAAGAAGAAGAAGAGGAAGAAGAAGAAGAAGAAGAAGAGUCCUGCGUGAGUGUGUGUGCAUAAUUUUGGAUUUGUGAGUUGAUCCGAGCCUCCUGCGUCUCCUCCCGUCUGCUGAACGCGCCCCCUCCUCCUCCUCCUCCUCCUCCAUUGUCAACCUGCUGGGGGCCUCAACGUGAAGCCGGCUUUAUGAAUGGGAUGCUCGGGCCGCCGACGGGAGGCGCUCACCGCCUGCAGGUUUAUUAUGCGAGGAGCGCCUCGGCCGGGACCCACAACCUUUUCCGCCAAAUUCCAUCAGCAGACUCGCAGCUCUUCCAGGAGGCCGACGGCAUUGCUGAAAUCUGGAAAGUAUUAAACAACCUGCUGGUGGAGGGGACUGGGGAGGGGGAGGAAGGGAGGAAGGGAGGAAGGGAGGGGAGGCGGAUGAAGGAGGGACGUGAAAAGUGGGGGAUGGGGGAGCAAAGAAACAGAAUACAAAAUUGUUCAUAUACCGCCCUUUGCCUGGCUCUGCUCCCUCUCCACUCCCACACACACACACACACACAUUAACCCCCCCACCUCCCAAAACACACACACACACACACAUCCAGACCACUCCCCACAAAGCUCCAGCAUUUUUCUUUUAUGUUUGCAGCACUAUUCUGCAAGUCCUUUUUUUUUUUUUUUUUUAAUGGCUCAUAAACAAACAGCCGUUUCUGCUGUGUCGUUCUGGGGGGAGAGUGUGUGUGUGUGUGUGUGUGUGUGUAUAUGUGUGUGUUUCAGUGUGGUGUGGCGUGGCGUGUGUGUGUGUGUGUGUGUGUGUGAGGAGUUGUUUGCUGGCACAGAGCUGGGAGGCGAGUGUGAUGGUCGAGAAAGCCCCAACUGUGUGUUUGUGGCCGCGAGCGAGAAUGAAAACGCUGGACGCCGUCCAGACAUCCUUUCCCAGGCUUUGAGGGUCGUAGCUGACCAAAUGUAUGCACGGCAUCUGGGAGGGCACGCCGUACCCGGGAGAGAGGACGGGCCCGCCUAGAAGACGAUGUAUAGAACCUGACCGGUGCCAAGAUUUGAGCGAGAGCGAGCGAGACAUUAAUCUUCCCGAGAGUCAGAUCCGUCUCUGCUCUCUGCUCAGACACAGUUACUGUCAUUCACUGUGCCGCUGUCACUGAGGAGGAAGAUGUGGGCUUUGUGUCUCUGUAAACGCCGGAUAAGUUAUCACAUCUACAUUUCUACAUUUCAUCUUCUGUUUAGUCAACACGUGUGUGAGCCAGCUUCCUUAUCAGGAGGAGGAGGAGAUGGCGGUGUUGGCAGACCUGGCUGAGGCCGCGUUUGUGACCACUUCGGCUGGAAACAGGAUAUUUUCUUUUCAGCCGAUUUCAUGGAAACGAAAGCAGAUAUUCACUUUGAAACAAUGUGGGAAUUUAGAGCAGAAACGGCGUACGUGUCGGUGAAAUGUCGGGACAUUUUGCAGCCGACAGCUGGGUUCUUUCAGCGAUGUGUCGGGACAAUUUACAGCAGACAACUGGCAACAUAUUACAGCCCAUAAAUGAUAUUUUACCAUCAUGUCGGGAGACUUUGUGGCAUAAAAACAUCUAUUUUUAGCAAGAUGUUGGGACAAUUUGCAGCCAAGAACUGAGUAUUUAUAAGCUAGAUGUCAGUGCAGUUGCAUCCAAAAAGCUCAGUAAAUGUUAGUGAGAUGUCAAAACAAUUAGCAGCAGACAACUGGCAACGUAUCCGGACAAUUUGGAGCCCGUAUACAAUAUUUCAGCAUCAUGUCGGGACAGUUUGUAGCAUAAAAACAUCUCUUUUUAGCAAGACGCUGAGACAAUUUGCAGCCAAAAGCCUCUGUAGUGUUAGUGAGACGUCAGGACAGUUUGCAGCAGACGACCGGCAACAUAUUACAGCCCAUAAAUGAUAUUUUAGCAUCAUGUCGGGACAGUUUGUAGCAUAAAAACGUCUCUUUUUAGCAAGACGUUGAGACAAUUUGCAGCCAAAAAGCUCAGUAAAUGUUAGUGAGACAUCGGGACAAUUUGCAGCAGACGACUGGCAUCAUAUCGGGACAAUUUGGAGCCCAUAAAUGAUAUUUUAGCAUCAUGUCGGGACACUUUGUAGCAGAAAAACAUCUCUUGUUAGUGAAGAUGUUGGGACAAUUUACUUCCAGCAACCUCUGUAGUUUCAGUGAGAUGUCAGGACAAUUUGCUGAUGGGAAACCAGGUACCAAGUUUUUACUUUUGAUAAGAUCUCAGGCCAUUUUUCCAGGAGGAGCCAGAACACUUACACAAGUGUUUUCUUGUGCCCACACCUCUCCGGACCACGAGCAUGCUUUUUUUUGUCACAACACCAAACUGAACGCAGAGCAAACAGAAACGUAAAGUUGCAACACAUCACAUGUGGGGGUUCGACAUAUUUGUGGUUUGCAGAAAAACACACAAGCCGACGUUCUCAUCAGCGACUCUCCGCGUUGCGUCAUGCGUGUUUGUUAGUCGCUCGGCGGAGACGCCUCUGUGUUGAUCCGGCCUCAACACUCGUCGCCACAUUCAUUUAUCGUCGGCCUUUUCGGCGUCUGCCUUCACUUCCAGUCUGCAGAGUAACCAAACAAAGUGUAACACAGUUUCGCUGACAAAGUUCUCAUCAGAGUUUCUUCUCUCUCUCUUUGUGUCCUCAAAGAUUUACUCUGCGGCUAUUCCUCCAGGAGAGCGAGGCGAGGCGGAUAUUGGUGUUAACAGGAGCAGCGAACAUAAACAUUCCAGUACGCGGUGUUGACCUCCUGACCUCUGAACCCUGCAGCGGCAGGAGACCACACACACGUGGAGGAGGAGGAGGAGGUGGGAGGUGGGAGGAGGGAGGAACUUCUCCGGUGUCCUUCGCCCUUAAAGAGCUUCAGAUGCCGGAGACCGUGAAAAAUUAGCCCGACCCCGAAACAUCAGCGCUGCGUUUGGCGCUCGGGGGAUCGUCGCAGGUAUGUCAGAAUGUGGGUACGACUUUCUCAGAUGGAAAAGUGAUUCCAAGGGAAACACAGCUCCCGUCUCUGUCUGUCUGUCUCUCUCGCUCUCUCCACCCGUUGUGUAACUAAAAGUUUCCUUUAUGAAUCUGAGAUUGUGUCAUAACCUCUUCUGGUCUGGACUCCUCAGCGUUGAAAUAUGUUUUUCCGUCUCGCGGAACCCGCAAUUGCUAAAUCCGCCUUCACGUCAGCAGAGAGACAGAAAACAAUGUUUUCCACCAAAGAUUGUAUUUUUUUCUGUCUCCGCGGCGGACGGGCAAAACAAAUCAGUCGGAAACAAAAGUUGUGAGCUUUGAUUGUGUUUAACUUUCCGCCACGACUCCCCCCUCAGAUGUCCCGACUCUCCCGCGCCCAGAGAACGUGCUGGGCUCAUUUUCGCCACCAGCACAGAAACAAUGAUUCAUUUUCCAUUCUCUCCAUCUGUCUGAGCGCUCACCCCGUCUCACUCGGCUGAAGAGAGGAGCGCUUCCUGCAGCCAUGUGUGUCCCCAGGAGGUCUGGCCUGGCCUGCGCUCAGCCGUGACCACAUAGGCCGGGGCCUGGGGGGCUCCGGUGCUCUCUGCUCCCGCUCCCUCGCUGCCGGGGGGCUGCUUCCCUUCCAGGGCCCGUCCACGGCUGGCUGACACUGGAGGAAGGAGAGCGCACAACACGCCUCCACACAACCCACACCUUUAGUCAGAGAACACAAACUUUCACCAGCAAACUUUCGAGCUAAUUACUGCAGCAGAAUGAUUCUGCAUUAAUUGGUAUCCACGUCUUAUUCUCAUCGGCGGGGACAGUUCAUUCAGCAGUGAGUCCAGGAUUGAUUAAUAAAAAGAAACCUGCCUUCAGAUGUCGAUCACACACUGAGGCCACAUCCUUGCCAACGUAGACUUGGCGCCGGCCCAACAGCGGCUGGUUGUAC